UACAGAGGUCUCAAGCGUUGUUCGGAUUCAUUGGGCGUAAAGGGUGCGUAGGCGGCGCGGUAAGUCGGGUGUGAAAUCUCGGGGCUUAACUCCGAAACUGCAUUCGAUACUGCCGUGCUUGAGGACUGGAGAGGAGACUGGAAUUUACGGUGUAGCGGUGAAAUGCGUAGAUAUCGUAAGGAAGACCAGUGGCGAAGGCGGCCCACUGGAUCGGUACUGACGCUGAGGUGCGAAAGCGUGGGGAGCAAACAGG
rnacentral:rRNA from 1 species